GACUAUUGCCUUUCAGUUCCCUUUUGAGAGCAAUUUACAGGAUAAUGUUGCCACCAUGGCUCGUCAAUAUGUCCGUAGUGUGAUUUCCUCUGUACAGAGGGUGGCCAUGGCUAUAUCUCCAUCAGGAUUGUGCCCAUCUGUGGGACCUAAGUUAUCUCCUAGCUCUCCUGAAGCUCUUACCUUAGCUCACUGGAUCUGCCAAAGUUAUAAGUACUAUUUAGGGGCUGAAUUGCUGAGUUC
rnacentral:misc_RNA from 1 species